rnacentral:lncRNA from 1 species
CCCGUCUAAAGAUUUGCACUUUUGAUUUUCUGAAUUUUUUGAUGGGCACCACUGAGAGUUUAACCCCAACUUUUUAGGAGAUACCCCGGCCGGAUAUAUCGUGCCCCCACAACUGUUCCUUCAGCCCAGAAAAAUUAUGUGGAACCUCUCGCCCCAAGGUUUGGCCAUGCACCCUUUCUUUUUUCUUUUAAUUUUUUUUAUAAAUAAACUAACUUAAACUUGUUGCAAGAUCUUUCUACUUUCAUUUAUUAAUUUUGAAGGGCCAAAACUCACCCUUGCGCUAAAAAAUGUAGGAAGCUCAACCUUCCGUACCUGAGAUGGGAGUUAGGGCGUAAGUUAUGAC